AUAAGCUUCAAAAUGGGAAAGGGAGGCAGAGCGCCAUCCUGCAAAUUGCUCUAUCACCUGUGAAGUGCCAUGAAACCAUGAAAGGGCCUUCCUUUUUGAAGCAAAGGAUGAAUAAGGAAAUAUUUCAUCUGUGCUGAGCAUAGAAGAGGAAGUUGGUUUUAAGACACAGAUCACUUAUCUUCUGGAUGAAAGACAGAUCGGAUUUCCAAAACUUCCAUUUUCCCAUUUCAUGUCGUCCGCAAGGAAAACGGCUGAAGAUGAAGACAGCACACUUUGAGAGAUUGAAUAAACAUCCCCCAAACAGCAGAAGGAGUAGCCAGAACACAGAUUUACUUGCCUAGCUUCAAAUCCAGUAUGUUUACCAGGCAUUCAGAUUUUGAUUCCUGAGAUUCUUCUCUCUGCUGCAAAUCAUGAUGCUUACCCUUAUGGAAAAAUAAAAGAUGGUGUGAGAUGAACCCUGGCCACACUCUCCUUACCGUCUAGAAGUGAAGAUGAGGUUAGAGAGUCUCUACAAUCUCUUUCUUCCAAAGAGCUGUCCUCCAUCGACACCGAACACCUGUAGUUUUAAUACAGCUUCCGCACACAGAGUUUCCUUGCUUUCUCUUGCUUGGAUUUUGGAUUAUAUCAUUACAAGGUCAUUGAAGUUUAUUACAGGGAAACCGAUGUCCAAAGAGUAUCAAGAAACUGAAGCUUCCCAGAGCCCAACUCCUCGGCUUCCUGGCACCAGAAUCCACCAUCUAGCACGAAGGCAGACAACCAAGGACAUUAACCUGCAGAUCCCCUCAUCUCAUCAUCUACCCUCUCUGCUAGCAGUCUGACAAAGCCAAACACAGUCUGGUGGGAAAGCACUGACCAGCAAGGUCACGGGCUCCCCUUCCCUACAAGCAGCAAAACUUUAAAACCCUUUAUCCCCUUCUUAAUGGAGAGCCAGAAGUCCCUAAGCCAUUAGCCAACUGGUAUUCCCUUUGCCUGGCAAAGAAAAUAAUGAAACCCUUUUUUUCCUUUUCACCCAAAACUCUGUUCUCAUUUGGAUUGGCACUGAGUUCGGAGACCGAACUUUCAGUAACAACCUCACAAUUUACAAAUGUGUGGAAAAACUCUCUUUUCCCCCAACUUUCUGUUUUGAUAAAUUUCAAACCAGCAGCAAAUUUGAAAGAAGAGUAUAGUAUAAACACCCAUGUAUUCUUCAUAUAUUCACACACAUUUUUGCUGAACCAUUUUUAAAUAAGUUGCAUAAACCAUGACUCUAAAUAGCUCUGUAUGUAGCUCUCAAAAAUUAGAACUGAAAAAAAGCAUGAGGAUGUUUUCCAACAUAAUCACAAUAAUUACAUAAUUAUAACUCUCAAGGGUUUUUAAAUUGAUAAAAUAGUCCUAUUUUAUGUACAGUCCUUUACCAAAUGGCCUCAGUUGUCCCAAUAAUGACCUUUAUAGCUAUUUUGUUGUUGUUAUAUUGAAGCAAGAUCCAAUCAAGGACUGCAUGUUACAGUUAACUGUCAUAACUCUUUAGUCUCUUCACAUUGAAAACUUUGCCCUGUCUUUUAAAAAAAUUCUCGUAUAAUAUUGAAACUUUUGAAAAACCCAAGUCAGCUGCUUUUGUGGUAUAAUAAUUGCAUUUAUCUAAUUGGCAUCUCAUGCUUCAAUUCAGAAUUAAACAUUUGCAGUAAGAAUGCUACAUGGUUGGGGAUGGAUUCUGCUCAGUUAUCUUACUAGGAGUCAUAUAAUGUCAGUUUGAUCUAUUAUUGGUGAUAUUUGUUUUCUCCAUUGUAAAGGUACUUUUUGCCCGUUGUAAUUAUUUUUUUAAACUCUAUUUUAAAUAAAAUUUAAAUAAACCUACCUAUUUUUUUUUU
rnacentral:lncRNA from 1 species